GUGGUGGCGGGCACCUGUAGUCCCAGCUACUCGGGAGGCCGAGGCAGGAGAACGACGUGAACCUGGGAGGCGGAGCUUGCAGUGAGCCGAGAUCACGCCACUGCACUCCAGCCUGGGCGACAGAGCGAGACACUGUCUCAAAAAAAAAAAAAAAGUGAACAAGGAAUUUUCAAAGAACAGAAAAAUUCCUCAAGUAUAGAAACCUAGAUGCCUCCAGGAUCUUAAAAGAGCAGCUUUCUGGACACAUAUUCCCCCUGUGCCUGAGUGUCACCUUGUCCAGGAAGCAUUCUGGUUCUCACUCCCAGCACUACGGCCACCUUGCUCCCCAAAGCACAGGUUAACCUGAAAGAGACUUCGGAUGCCACGAUCUGUUUUUUUUUUCCAAUUCUCUCUACCAUAAAACUUUUAUUAUAAGAAGAGAAGCCUGCUUUUUGCUGGGAGCACAGAAGCCUGCAGUGUUUUAGGAGCUCUGGUGAGAAUGUGUGAAGCCCUCUAGAGUAGUUCCGCAACUGCGUGAUGCAGUCCUGAGCGGAACUUCCAGAAAAGGGACUCUGCCUUUCCUCCUGCAACCCCUCCCAAGUCCCCAUGCGAGAGUGCUGGAACACAGAAAAAGGAACUGGGGAUGAGGCAGUCAUCUCAGCCCCCUGCUAUGGGCUGAAUUGUGUCCUCCAAAAUUUAUGUUGGGAUUCUAAUCCCCAGGACCUCAGCAUCUGACUGCAUUUGGAGACAGGGUCGUUACAGAGAAAAUCAAGCUAAAAUAAGGCCAUCAAGGAGCCCUAAUCCAAUAGAAGUAGUUUUCUUAUAAGAAGAGGAGAUCAGGACACAGGCACGCACAGAGGGACCACCCCGUGAGGACAGAGAGAAGACGCCUUCUACAUGCCAAAGAAAGAAGCCUCAAGAGGAACCAACCCAGCCGACACUUUGACCUUGACUUUGAACACAUGUACAGGGUGUGGGCCACCUUACUCCUGCAGGUUCUUCUCUGGCUCCUCUUGUGGCUGUUAUGGCUCAGAUGUUCUGGAAGUGAAAAUACAGUGGCCUGAGUCAGGCCUGCUGAGGGUGAUGUCAUCUGGACACAUGGAAACUUACUGUUCCAAUAAGACUCUCUGAAGUGCCCUUGGUUCUGCCAGGCCCACUGACUCAGAAGCGCAGGGUGAUCAGAUGACGAUGGCAUUCCGCGGCUGGACCACUUCCCCCAGUGCCUGCUUUGAUAAAAACACAUCCACAGAACACUGUUGGUCAGGAGCCUCCUGCAUGACACCGAGUCACUAGUUUCUGUUUGGUUCUAUUCCCAUCAAUAUUACAUGCACCAAUAUUAUAACAAAUAUCUUUUUUUUUUCUUCCUUCGCCCACCCACCCUUUCCAAGUAGCCACAUACUGGCUGCACUAUCUAAUCCUCCGAGAACAAAGAGAGUCUGUUUGGGUGCAGACAUAGCUUAGGUCCUUUCCACGACACACUUUCAUCAGCUGCCCGAUAGAUGCCGCCUUCUCUCGGAUCAACCGCAGCUGUUUAAAGAUUUUUGAAAAGACAUAAUGUGUUUCUUACAAAAUUCUCCUUAGAUUCAGAAAGAUAGUGUUCUGAUAAUUCUCUUUUAGCAGGGGUCACAGAAAAGAGAAACCUAUAGAUCUUAAGUAUAAUAACUGCAGACAAAAUAUUUUAUAUUUUCAAGGAACAUAAGAAAUAAUGACACACAUUGAGAGAUAGGUGUUAAUAUCCUUCAAUGAGGUACAAAAAGGUUAAGUGGCUUACAGAGAUUAAAACAUCUCCUGCUAGCCCAUCACUCAAAACACUCACAUGAUAAAAUGACGGCACACAAAACCUUCAGAUGUAAAAGGGAUUUUCAUUGUUUCUCAUUAUGAUUGUUUUUGCUUUUAUUCUUUCAACUGGAAAAUUAUUCCCAUGAAAAUUUUCAAUCAUUGCACAUAAAAAGAUGUUUAGCAGGGACUGUUCGGUACUUGGAAGCUGUGAAAAUCUGCUUACGCUCUCAAAACAUCUGUAGCCUCCAGUGGAGUUUUGGCUCUCUCCACCGUACUUGCCUUCCAGUAAAAACACAGGAGAGUGGCAAUUUCCCUUCGAUGCUGCAGUGCAAAGCUAUAAUCUUGGGAAGCAAUGAGUAAACACAUUACUGAACAGUGGUGUGGAAGAAGAGACACAACUGCCUGAUUGUUUCAGUAAAAGACACAGGGAAUUAGUUGACUGUGUUCUUGUAGAUGUCAGUUUAUGCACCCCCUAUGCACACUCUUUCUCUCUUUCUCUUAGUCUCUUUUUCCCCCUCUUUCUCUCUCAGCUGUCUCCCCCAUAUCUCUCUCUGUUUUUCUCACACACAUACUACACACAUUAUUAAGGCCCAACUAUAGAGUGACUCUAACCAUCUGAUCAAUAGAUAGAAACAAACCAAACAAAAGCACACUUUAAACUUUAUGAUAAUCAUUAGUGCAUACAUCCUAAACUUCCCAUUAAUUUAUUAGAAAUAAUGGAGCUAAAGAGAAAAUAAUAUUUAUCAAGCUUGUAAUGUACCAGACACAAAGUUUAUCUCUUUUAACACUUUAGUCUCUACAGACAUGCACAGAUAGUAAUUGUAUUGGUAUCUCUGGGUUUGUUUUUGUUUUUGUUUUGAGGCAUGGUUUUACUCUGUUACCUGGGCUAGAGUGCAGUGGCAUGAUCCUAGCUCACUGCAGCUGUGAACUCUUGGGCUCAAGUGAUCCU
rnacentral:lncRNA from 1 species